GCCAGUGUGGCAUAGUGGUUUGAGUCUUGGACUACAACUCUGGAGACCAGGGUUCGGUUUCCACCUCGGGCA